rnacentral:rRNA from 1 species
GAUGAACGCUAGCGGCAGGCUUAACACAUGCAAGUCGAGGGGUAUAGGUUUUCGGACCUAGAGGCCGGCGCACGGGUGCGUAACGCGUAUGCAAUCUACCUUUUGCAGAGGGAUAGCCCAGAGAAAUUUGGAUUAAUACCUCAUAGUAUAACACAAUCGCAUGAUUGAGUUAUUAAAGUCACAACGGCAAAAGAUGAGCAUGCGUCCCAUUAGCUAGAUGGUAAGGUAACGGCUUACCAUGGCUACGAUGGGUAGGGGUCCUGAGAGGGAGAUCCCCCACACUGGUACUGAGACACGGACCAGACUCCUACGGGAGGCAGCAGUGAGGAAUAUUGGUCAAUGGACGCAAGUCUGAACCAGCCAUGCCGCGUGCAGGAUGACGGUCCUAUGGAUUGUAAACUGCUUUUGUACAGGAAGAAACACUCCUUCGUGAAGGAACUUGACGGUACUGUAAGAAUAAGGAUCGGCUAACUCCGUGCCAGCCGCCGCCGUAA